rnacentral:rRNA from 1 species
AUUUGGAGAGGAUGCUUUUGGCGCGGCGCCGUCCGAGUUCCUUGGAACAGGACGCCACAGAGGGUGAGAGCCCCGUACGGACGGACGCCUAGCCUCUACAAAGCUCCUUCGACGAGUCGAGUAGUUUGGGAAUGCUGCUCAAAAUGGGAGGUAAAUUUCUUCUAAAGCUAAAUACCGGCCAGAGACCGAUAGCGCACAAGUAGAGUGAUCGAAAGAUGAAAAGCACUUUGAAAAGAGGGUUAAACAGUACGUGAAAUUGUUGAAAGGGAAGCGCCUGUGACCAGACUUGCGCCCCGCGGACCACCCGGCGUUCUCGCCGGUGCACUCCGCGGGGUGCAGGCCAGCAUCGGUUCUCCCAGGGGGACAAAGGCUGCGGGAACGUAGCUCCUUCGGGAGUGUUAUAGCCCGCGGCGGCAUGCCCCUGGGGGGACCGAGGACCGCGCUUCGGCAAGGAUGCUGGCGUAAUGGUCACCAGCGACCCGUCUUGAAACACGGACCAAGGAGUCAAGCAUUGGGGCGAGUGUAUGGGUGCCAAACCCGCACGCGAAAUGAAAGUAAACGCAGGUGAGAGCUUCGGCGCAUCAUCGACCGAUCCUGAUGUCUUCGGAUGGAUUUGAGUAAGAGCCUUACCGCUUGGACCCGAAAGAUGGUGAACUAUGCCUGAAUAGGGUGAAGCCAGAGGAAACUCUGGUGGAGG